rnacentral:misc_RNA from 1 species
AGUAAGUUAUUGCCAGGGUUUUUAUUUUAUACUUUAAACAUUGAUUUUAUUUUUUAUGUUUUUAGAUGUUCAUGUUUUUGAAUGUUUUAUUUAAAUAAUAUAAAAAAUAAAAUAUAUAUUGACAUGGAUUAAACAAAGAUAUAUAUUAUUCUAUGUUGCAUAAACAAAUUGGCAAAAUAGAGAUGGAAGAUAAAAAUAUGGUCAAAGUAAUAAGAGUC